GGAUCUUAACAUUGUGUUUAAGAUUGUAUGUGAACACUCACAUGGGUUCUCUACAAUGGAAUUCUUUAAAGCAUGGAUCUAAUUGUAGUGGAAUGGGCCAAUUUUACUUUUACAUCCAGUAGGUAGUGGGUUAUGAAACCUUUAGCAUAAGCUGUAAUAGCCUAGCUGAUUUUUUGGGUGCAUUAAUGUAGAAGAAGCAUUGUGUCAAGAACUUCUAGACCGUUGAAGGCCUUGUAAAAGGUAGAGUGUUUUCAACCCUACUCAACAAAUACUUGGUCUCAAACUAGUCACUUGGCCAUGUAAAAUAAUGUUUUUUCAUAAUUUAACUAGAUUGCAGGAAAGAGCUUGGCAAACAAUCAUUACAAAAAUCAAUUGUAGGAUGUUUCUUAGCAUUACGAAUGCAAUGUAUGAUGAAUAUGUUAAGACAUUGGGUUUUGUACAUUUUCAGAUGUUGGCAUGGCAUGCUAUUUUGGGGUUAACUUUAAUGCCAUAAAGGUUGGCAACAGGGGAGCUAUGUUAGAUCUGAAGUAGCUUAGUUAUUAGACA
rnacentral:misc_RNA from 1 species